rnacentral:rRNA from 1 species
CAACCCUCAAGCUCUGCUUGGUAUUGGGCCUUCGCCGGGCGACCGSSGGCCUUAAAGUCAGUGGCGGCGCCGUUGGGUCCUGAACGUAGUAACAUACCUCUCGUUACAGGGUCCCCGCGUGCUUCUGCCAUUAAACCCCAAACUUUUUAUGG